rnacentral:rRNA from 1 species
UACGGAAGGCAGCAGUGGGGAAUAUUGCACAAUGGGCGCAAGCCUGAUGCAGCCAUGCCGCGUGUAUGAAGAAGGCCUUCGGGUUGUAAAGUACUUUUCAGUCGUGAGGAAGGUGUUAAGGUUAAUAACCUUAGCAAUUGACGUUAGCGACAGAAGAAGCACCGGCUAACUCCGUGCCAGCAGCCGCGGUAAUACGGAGGGUGCGAGCGUUAAUCGGAAUUACUGGGCGUAAAGGGCACGCAGGCGGUUAAUUAAGUUGGAUGUGAAAUCCCCGGGCUUAACCUGGGAAUGGCAUUCAAGACUGGUUAGCUAGAGUCUUGUAGAGGGGGUAGAAUUCCAUGUGUAGCGGUGAAAUGCGUAGAGAUGUGGAGGAAUACCGGUGGCGAAGGCGGCCCCUGGACAAAGACUGACGCUCAUGUGCGAAAGCGUGGGGAGCGAAACAGGGAUUAGAUACC